UAACAAGGUAUCUGUAGGUGAACCUGCAGAUGGAUCAUUUCGAUGAAAACCUUUUUUUUCUUGAGGUGUGGCUCGCACCUGUCUAACUAAACUUGAGCUACCUUUUUUCAACACGGUUGCAUCGGUUGGCCUGUCAAACAGUGCGGCGGCGUGAAUUUUCACGUCUGCUUUGGCUGGGCGACGGACCGACACUUAAUCAACACUUUUGAUGAUCUAGGAUUUGAAUGAUAAAAGUUCAUUUUUACAAUGAAAUCGACUGGUAAUGCGGUCGUCUAAUUUUUAAAAACAACUUUUGGCAACGGAUCUCUUGGUUCUCCCAUCGAUGAAGAACGCAGCGAAUUGCGAUAAGUAAUGUGAAUUGCAGAAGUGAAUCAUCGAAUCUUUGAACGCACCUUGCGCUCCCGGCAGAUCUAAUCUGGGGAGCAUGCCUGUUUGAGGGCCGCGAAUUGUUUCGAACGACAAUUUUUUUCUUUUGAAGAGUUGGCGGAUCGGUAUUGAGGGUUUUGCCAUUCACCGUGGCUCCCUCGAAAUGCAUUAGCGCAUCCAUUUGAUAGGCAAGACGGACGCAAGCUCGAUUUUCGCUCUCUCUUCCCUGCCGGGUUUUGAUAAUAUCAGGACUUCGGAGAGGUUGAGAUGGGUAAGAGCUGGACGCAACGGCUUGCUGUUUGGAGUGCUUCUGAAACCCGCCCAUAUCGAGCUUUGCCUCGGAAGGGAUUUUAAUAAUUCAUCGGCCUCAGAUUGGUAGGACUACCCGCUGAACUUAAGCAUAUCAAUAAAGCGGA
rnacentral:rRNA from 1 species